rnacentral:rRNA from 1 species
AUUGAACGCUGGCGGCAUGCUUUACACAUGCAAGUCGAACGGUAACAGGUUAAGCUGACGAGUGGCGAACGGGUGAGUAAUGCAUCGGAACGUGCCCGAUCGUGGGGGAUAACGCAGCGAAAGCUGCGCUAAUACCGCAUACGAUCUGAGGAUGUACGCGGGGGACCGUAAGGCCUCGCGCGAUCGGAGCGGGCGCUGUCGGAUUAGGUAGUUGGUGGGGUAAAGGCUCACCAAGCCGACGAUCUGUAGCUGGUCUGAGAGGACGACCAGCCACACUGGGACUGAGACACGGCCCAGACUCCUACGGGAGGCAGCAGUGGGGAAUUUUGGACAAUGGGCGCAAGCCUGAUCCAGCAAUGCCGCGUGCAGGAAGAAGGCCUUCGGGUUGUAAACUGCUUUUGUACGGAGCGAAAAGGCUCUGUCUAAUACAGGGGGCUCAUGACGGUACCGUAAGAAUAAGCACCGGCUAACUACGUG